GGGGGGGGGGGGGGGGGGGGGGGGGGGGGGGGGGGCGGGGGGGGGCACGGGAGGGGCUUGCUCGUACGGGGGGCGAGGGGCGGACGGGUGGGGGAUACAGCGGAAUCUACUUUUUCGGGGGGGAUAACGUAGGGAAACUUACGCUAAUACCGCAUACGACCUCCGGGUGAAAGCAGGGGAUCUUCGGACCUUGCGCGAUUGACUGAGCCGAUGUCGGAUUAGCUAGUUGGCGGGGUAAAGGCCCACCAAGGCGACGAUCCGUAGCUGGUCUGCGAGGAUGAUCAGCCACACUGGAACUGAGACACGGUCCAGACUCCUACGGGAGGCAGCAGUGGGGAAUAUUGGACAAUGGGCGCAAGCCUGAUCCAGCCAUACCGCGUGGGUGAAGAAGGCCUUCGGGUUGUAAAGCCCUUUUGUUGGGAAAGAAAAGCAGCAGGUUAAUACCCCGCUGUUCUGACGGUACCCAAAGAAUAAGCACCGGCUAACUUCGUG
rnacentral:rRNA from 1 species